ACAAUCUAUUAGAGCUCUAUCCUAACCUCCCCUGACAGAAAAAAAAUGAUGGGAAGCUUGCCAAGACAUGUAUAUCUAUAUCCUCUAUAGCUUACACUAGCUGUACAAACUGAGACAUAUCGCUAUACUACAACAAUUGCGUGCAACAAAAA